GUUCCCUUCAGCAGCACAUUUACUAAAAUUGUAAUGAUCCAAAGAUAUUAGCCUGAUGACUGAGCAAGGAUGACAAGCAAAUUAGUGAAGUGUUCCAGGUUUUA